CGGAAACUGAUAUGCUAAGAUGAAACACCACCGCACCAUGGGAAGCAAGCAACUAUUGCAUCAAGCUGCUCUUAAGCACAAUGUUACAAGUUCCAAUGAAAGCGUUUUAAAAAUGUAGAAAAGAGCACCAAAAAUUUACCAUUUACAUAGUUAAAAAUAUUAAUAUAAUACCUUGGUCUCAAAAAAUAUGACAACGAAAAAUUAAAUAACUAAAGAUAUUUUCAUACAUGAACAUG